UACAGAGGGUGCGAGCGUUAAUCGGAAUUACUGGGCGUAAAGCGUGCGUAGACGGUAGCGUAAGUCAGAUGUGAAAGCCCCGGGCUCAACCUGGGAAUUGCAUUUGAGACUGCUCUGCUCGGGUGCGGAAGAGGGAAGCGGAAUUCCGGUGUAGCGGUGAAAUGCGUAGAUAUCGGAAGGAACACCAGUGGCGAAAGCGGCUUCCUGGUCCGACACCGACGUUCAGGCACGAAAGCGUGGGGAGCAAACAGG
rnacentral:rRNA from 1 species